AACGAACGCUGGCGGCAUGCCUAACACAUGCAAGUCGAACGAAGCCUUCGGGCUUAGUGGCGCACGGGUGCGUAACGCGUGGGAAUCUGCCCCUUGCUUCGGAAUAACAGUUAGAAAUGACUGCUAAUACCGGAUGAAGUCUUCGGACCAAAGAUUUAUCGGCAAGGGAUGAGCCCGCGUAGGAUUAGGUAGUUGGUGGGGUAAAGGCCUACCAAGCCGACGAUCCUUAGCUGGUCUGAGAGGAUGAUCAGCCACACUGGGACUGAGACACGGCCCAGACUCCUACGGGAGGCAGCAGUGGGGAAUAUUGGACAAUGGACGCAAGUCUGAUCCAGCAAUGCCGCGUGAGUGAUGAAGGCAUUAGGGUUGUAAAGCUCUUUUACCAGGGAUGAUAAUGACAGUACCUGGAGAAUAAGCUCCGGCUAACUCCGUG
rnacentral:rRNA from 1 species